CCCCAGCUCCGCUCGCUCAGCAGCAUCCAGCGUGGGGAGCAGCGCUCUGCCUGGCUCCCUGACACGGGGUGGACGUUCCUGAGCGUUGAGCUCAGCUGCUGUAAAAAGCAAGUAGGAAAAUAUACAGCUGGAUAAAAUUGAACAUGAUCAGAAGAUAGCAUCAUACACCAUGAUCAUGGCCCCCCGGAAGAGGAAUCGUCAUGCGUUGGGGUUUCUUUGUUGUUUUGGGGGUAGCGACCUCCCGGAAAUCAACCUCAAGGACAAUAACCCCCUCCAAUUCCUUGAGUUUUCUGUCCCAAUCCCACCAGCAGAAGAACUCAAUGCCCGAUUCUCUGAACUUGUGGAUGAAUUGGAUCUCACAGACAAGAACAGAGAGGCUAUGUUUGCACUCCCUCCAGAGAAGAAAUGGCAGAUUUACUGCAGCAAAAAGAAGGUAC